CAAUGGGCGAAAGCCUGAUCCAGCCAUGCCGCGUGUGUGAAGAAGGUCUUCGGAUUGUAAAGCACUUUAAGUUGGGAGGAAGGGUUGUAGAUUAAUACUCUGCAAUUUUGACGUUACCGACAGAAUAAGCACCGGCUAACUCUGUGCCAGCAGCCGCGGUAAUACAGAGGGUGCAAGCGUUAAUCGGAAUUACUGGGCGUAAAGCGCGCGUAGGUGGUUUGUUAAGUUGGAUGUGAAAUCCCCGGGCUCAACCUGGGAACUGCAUUCAAAACUGACUGACUAGAGUAUGGUAGAGGGUGGUGGAAUUUCCUGUGUAGCGGUGAAAUGCGUAGAUAUAGGAAGGAACACCAGUGGCGAAGGCGACCACCUGGACUAAUACUGACACUGAGGUGCGAAAGCGUGGGGAGCAAACAGGAUUUGUUUCCCUGGUAGUCCA
rnacentral:rRNA from 1 species